GCCCGGGUAGCUCAGUUGGUAGAGCAGCGGACUGAAAAUCCGCGUGUCGCUGGUUCGAUUCCGGCCCCGGGCACCA
rnacentral:tRNA from 1 species